UUGUUGUUGCAAAACGUUUCCUCUACGAAACGAAACGUUUUGCUCCGGUGUGCACUAAUGAAUACAUGACACCAGCACUCACCCAGUUAAGGCAGAAAGGCUCUCACAGGGAAGUUCUACUGGGCUGGUAUCUCACUCCAUAGCUGCUGGGGGUUUCUAGUGUGGUGGCGUAUCAAAAGACUGCCAUGGCUUCUGGGCUCACUUUCAGGGCCUUCUGGAUUUGUUUUCUAUUGUUUGACGGUGCUAACUGUUUACCUGCCCAAAAAGGAAACCCUGUUCUGCAUGAAUAUCCUUUCAGUAACAUUGAGUCCAACAGUUAUGGAGGUGUGCCUGCCCCGUAUGGAGAUG